rnacentral:rRNA from 1 species
AUUGAACGCUGGCGGCAGGCUUAACACAUGCAAGUCGAGCGGGGUGAUGGUGCUUGCACUAUCACUUAACGGCGGACGGGUGAGUAACGCUUAGGAAUCUGCCUAUUAGUGGGGGACAACAUCCCGAAAGGGAUGCUAAUACCGCAUACGUCCUACUGGAGAAAGCAGGGGAUCAAUUGUGACCUUGCGGUAAUAGAUGAGCCUAAGUCGGAUUAGCUAGUUGGUGGGGUAAAGGCCUAGCAAGGCGACGAUCUGUAGCGGGUCUGAGAGGAUGAUGCGCCACACUGGGACUGGGACACGGCCCAGACUCCUACGGGAGGCAGCAGUGGGGAGUAUUGGACAAUGGGGGGAACCCUGAUCCAGCCAGGCCGCGUGUGUGAAGAAGGCCUUAUGGUUGUAAAGCACUUUAAGCGAGGAGGAGGCUCUUUUGGUUAAUAACCAAGAUGAGUGGACGUUACUCGCAGAAUAAGCACCGGCUAACUCUGUGCCAGCCGCCGCGGUAACAC